ACGAACGCUGGCGGCGUGCUUAACACAUGCAAGUCGAACGGAAAGGCCCUGCUUUUGUGGGGUGCUCGAGUGGCGAACGGGUGAGUAACACGUGAGUAACCUGCCCUUGACUUUGGGAUAACUUCAGGAAACUGGGGCUAAUACCGGAUAGGAGCUCCUGCUGCAUGGUGGGGGUUGGAAAGUUUCGGCGGUUGGGGAUGGACUCGCGGCUUAUCAGCUUGUUGGUGGGGUAGUGGCUUACCAAGGCUUUGACGGGUAGCCGGCCUGAGAGGGUGACCGGCCACAUUGGGACUGAGAUGCGGCCCAGACUACUACGGGAGGCAGCAGUGGGGAAUAUUGCACAAUGGGCGGAAGCCUGAUGCAGCAACGCCGCGUGCGGGAUGACGGCCUUCGGGUUGUAAACCGCUUUCGCCUGUGACGAAGCGUGAGUGACGGUAAUGGGUAAAGAAGCACCGGCUAACUACGUG
rnacentral:rRNA from 1 species